GGGCUGGGGCAGCGAGGGAACUGCUGCCGGGAGAACACAGGAGAGGGUUCAAAGGUUGCAGAAGCAAUCUGUUGAGGUUAUAGUGCCCUUCAGGGCUUUAAAUAGGAAGCCGUUCUGCCUUUUCCUGUGUCCUGGAAUGCAGAAGGGAACUGGAAAGGGGAACUGCAAAGGGCAGGAGAAAUGAGCCUGACCGUGCCUCUGUGAAGGCGAGGAGGCUGUAUCCUCUUAGAGGUUCCUCUCUUGCUGCUGUGGGAAGCCUGCUGCUUUCCCUACUCGAUUCCCUAAUUCCUGCUGCACCUGUUAAAAGCAGAUGUCAGUAGUUACGUCUUCAUCUGGUCACCUUAGGUGUUUCUUCUCUCCUGUGAAGAAUCUGCCCCCUUGUAGGGAAGAGGAGCGUGGUGUAGAGCCUUGCUGCCUGCAAGGAGCAGAAGGACGGACAGGGGAUGAGCUGGAGGGAACAGACUGACUGGACAGGAGUCUUCUAGUGGUAGUUCACUGCUGGACUAGUAGGGAAGGAAAGGAAUGGUUGGACCUGUGGGACAUCGGAAUUCAGAUAGUGCUGUAUUUAUUACAGAGAAAUAAAGGCGUUUAUUUGGACCUA